rnacentral:rRNA from 1 species
UUUCGCAAUGCCCGAAAGGGUGACGAAGCGACGCCGCGUGCGGGAAGAAGGCCUUCGGGUUGUAAACCGCUGUCGGGAGUUAAGAAAUGUAAGGAUGUUAAUAGCAUCUUUGCUUGACUAAGGCUCCGGAGGAAGCCACGGCUAACUCUGUGCCAGCAGCCGCGGUAAUACAGAGGCGGCAAGCGUUGUUCGGAAUUAUUGGGCGUAAAGAGCACGUAGGCGGCUAUGUAAGUCGGUUGUGAAAGCCUUCCGCUCAACGGGAGAACAGCAUCCGAUACUGCAUGGCUUGAGUGCGGGAGGGGAGAGUGGAACUUCUGGUGGAGCGGUGAAAUGCGUAGAUAUCAGAAGGAACGCCGGCAGCGAAAGCGGCUCUCUGGCCCAUAACUGACGCUGAGUGUGCGAAAGCUAGGGGAGCAAACGGGAUUAGAUACCCCGGUAGUCCUAGCCGUAAACGAUGGGCACUAAGUAGAGGGGUUUU